CGGACGGGUGAGUAAUGUAUGGGGAUCUGCCUGAUGGCGGGGGAUAACUACUGGAAACGGUAGCUAAUACCGCAUGAUGUCUACGGACCAAAGCGGGGGACCUCCGGGCCUCGCGCCAUCAGAUGAACCCAUAUGGGAUUAGCUAGUAGGUAAGGUAACGGCUUACCUAGGCGACGAUCCCUAGCUGGUCUGAGAGGAUGACCAGCCACACUGGAACUGAGACACGGUCCAG
rnacentral:rRNA from 1 species